rnacentral:lncRNA from 1 species
GUAUAGAGAAUAAAGUGAGAUUAAAAGAAUCCUGGUGCUGAGGUGCGUAAAGAAAAGAGAAAAGUACAAACAAAAGCAGUCCCAAGAAUGUAUGGCAAGGACAUGCUAAUAUAAGGAUUAUUCCAGAAAUGGAGAAUCCACGCUUGUUAAUAGGAAUUUAGAAACUAUAAAAGGAGCAGGAAUAAUGAGGCUGUGG